rnacentral:rRNA from 1 species
UACAGAGGGUGCAAGCGUUAAUCGGAAUUACUGGGCGUAAAGCGAGCGUAGGCGGUUAUUUAAGUCGGGUGUGAAAGCCCCGGGCUCAACCUGGGAAUUGCAUUCGAUACUGGAUAGCUAGAGUUCGGCAGAGGGAAGCGGAAUUUCCGGUGUAGCGGUGAAAUGCGUAGAUAUCGGAAGGAACAUCAGUGGCGAAAGCGGCUUCCUGGACCAGAACUGACGAUCAGGCUCGAAAGCGUGGGGAGCAAACAGG